UUACAACAUUUUUUCAGAUUGACGUAUGGCAGAUCACUCAAGGCAUGCAGAAACAUGAAUUCACAUUUCUACCACUUAAGAAAGUAUCAACAUCCUAUGCUGAAAAUGGACUAGAAGAUACUGCUAAUAAUACAUAUUGGGUUUAUGUAAUGUACAUGUUUAACAUAAUUAACAGUGUAACAACAAUUCAUAACAAAAUUAAUCUGAAAGAAAAAUACUACAAGGAUUAUCAGAGAAUCUGUACAGUAACUAAACAGAAACGAUGAUCUGUUGAUGUUUUUGAAGAGGACUGUUCUCCAAAAUCAUGAUUAUGUUCCACAACAAAUUGAACCUUAUCCCUUAGUACCUAUGUUGUAAAUACUGUGAAUAUUGUAAUUCAUUUUAAUUUAAUUUUCUACUUGUCCACGUACAAAAAAUUAUUCAACUGGGGAAUUAAUUGUAAUUAUUAUUGUAGGAGGUCUGUUACUGUUCAAUGUUAUAAAUUAUAAUAUUCCUUUUAUUAUUAAAUUAUGUAAUUUAUUAAGUUUAUUGUUAUUGAAUUAUUUUAUUUAUAAAAUUUACUGUUAUUUAAUUAUAUUAUUAUUAAGUGAGUAACUACUAGUAAAAAAUUAUACUUUAU